AUUGAACGCUGGCGGCAGGCCUAACACAUGCAAGUCGAGCGGAGCGGCGAACGGGUGAGUAACGCGUGAGUAACUGCCCCCCUCUCUGGGAUAACAGUUGGAAACGGCUGCUAAUACCGGAUAGUGGGGGAUGACUCGCGUCCUAUAAGCUUGUUGGUGGGGUAGUGGCCUACCAAGGCGACGCCGGGUAGCCGGCCUGAGAGGUCGACCGGCCACAGUGGGCUGGGAGACGGCCAAAACUACUACGGGGGGCAGCAGUGGGGAAUAUUGCACAAGUGCGGAAACCCUGAUGCAGCAACGCCGCGGGGGGGAUGACGGCCUUCGGGUUGUAAACCGCUUUCAGCCAUGACGCGGUAGUGGCAGAAGAAGCACCGGCUAACUACGUGACAGCAGCCGCGGUAAUAC
rnacentral:rRNA from 1 species